GGUGCUGGCCAUGCAGGGACUUGGUCUCUGAAUGAGAUGAAGAGCCAUUAGCCUAUGAGCAGAGGAGCAGCAUAACAGGACUUCCGUUUUCAAGACACCUCUUUGGCUGUGAUGUUAGGAAUGAGGUAGAAACAGGGAGACCAGUUAGAAGGUUGUCACCAUAAUCAAGGUACCAGCAUGGGAGGGGUGAAAAGCAAUCAGCCUCCGGAUAUACUUUAAAGAGAGAAGAAACGGAAGAAUCAUCCAUGGAGUUAAGGUGAAAGCAGCACAAAUAGAGGAAAGUUUUAAAAAAAUUGUUCACUAGGGAGGUAUUUCCUGAAUAGAACUUCCUAACUGCAGCUACAGACCAUGUUAAAAGUGAUUGAUUUGCC
rnacentral:lncRNA from 10 species